rnacentral:misc_RNA from 1 species
UAAUAAGUGUUUUAUGGCACUUUUUAAAUCCAUAUCCACCUUGUGUGCAAUGUCAGUCGAUCUUCUUCAUGGAGAUCGACUAAACAUCAACCUUUAUUUUUUAACUCUUUGUCUGAAAAAUAUUAUGAAUAAACAAUUCAAAAUA